rnacentral:lncRNA from 1 species
CGCGCCCCCGCAUUCUUUGCACGUAUAACGCUGCCUGCCGUGUUCACAUACGUUUUUUUUCUUCUUUAUAAUACGCCUCUUCGGGUUUACAAGUUUCAAUCUCGAAUUGUCCUCCGGCACCGCUGUCUCUGCCGCCGCCGCUAGGUAUUGGAGUCGCCCUGCCCCAAUCUUCGCUUCAAAUGCCACUGGAAGAUUAUUUAUUUCUUUAUUCACCACUAGUUUUCGAAUCAUACUCGCGUACAUACAUUUAUUUCUUCAUUUCUCCAGUUCAAGAAGUUCCCGGCUAGAAUUCUUCCGGGCAUGUGGGUAUGUUGUCUUCAAAGUUUCUACCUUCGUAUCCGACUUGCACACCCGGGUAUUUGGUGUGUAACAGGCACGCAUGGGAUAUAUAUACUCACAAUCGACGGUCUAAUUUCGCUCGACCCGCAAAAGUCUUCGCCUUUCGAAAAACUAAGUAAACUUUUACUUCUCAUUAUUUAAUACUUGUAUUAAAAGUUAUUAUUAAAGCGUACGUGUACGUGUGCAACUGUGCACAGCUGCACACAGUAAAUAAAACAACUUACGAAAGUACUUUAUUUAUUGUACACGUACUUGAGUAAUACUCAAGUAAUACUCAUGCAUCAAGUAUUACUUGAAUAAUACUUGAGUUAUUUGAGUAAUACUUGAGUAUUACUCAAAUAAUACUUGACUGAAUACCGUUGAGACUGAUGAACGGUCAACAAACAACGGGAUUUUUAAACGGCUCACCUUCGGCGGCGCGCCUUCUUCUUCUGGAUUAGAGGCGCCCCGCGGUGGCGACACAGCGGUAACCGGCGCGUCGGAAGGUUCUCGAGGUGCAGGAUCAAGAUGGGGAUCAACAGAUUCCUUGAAGUUGCCUUUUUGUCGUUGCCCGGGAGAAUCUUCCCACGGCCACUGCAUAUUUAUAAUUUUACUUUCAAAAUCCCCGUUCGUCGUAUGCGACGCUCUCCGGUGCGUGACGAGCGCACGGCCUUUCGUGGCGUGGCGAUGCUACGUCAAGUGGUGGCGAUGUAGCUGGCGUUUGAUCUAACGAACACUCUUCAAAGCGGGGGUGGGUAACUGGGUAUGCCGCAGAUGGAUCUGGAGUUAGGCUUUGAAAAAAUGGUUUUUUGCUGACUGUUGUACGGAAAGUACUUCCGUACACGUGUACGUGUACUAUAGUACCUUCGUACGAAAGUAGCUAGCUCAGACUCCUAAAAGAGACAUAUACCCUAAAGUCGUUUCCGAAUGCUCUGUACAGCCAUAAUCUGAAAAGAUUCCACGAGCCGAAAUCGCGCCGUGUCAACCUCGAAGGCGAAUGCGACUUCGCCACUUUUCGGCUCGAAGCCUCGGAUUGAAGUUUUGGUCACCCUCAGCACAACCCUCAGCGACGUCCGGAAGUUCGUAGGUAUCCCUUGCCUUGACUUUCGACGCAUGUUUAGGAGAAACAUUAAUACCACUGCUGGAUGUUAUCUGGUUGUUGGUUGCCACGACAUCGAGUGGGAUUGUGCACGCGUUAUUUAUUAGUAUCUUUCGUGAUAUGACCCUAAACCCUGGAUCUCAGAAAUAAUAUGACGAGAAUACUUUACGAAGCUUUAGGUUUCGGUGUUGCAAAAAUGAAGAGCAGGUGUGAAGAGAUGAAAAGAAAUACAAGCGCCUUCCACUACGCAGUUGCGAAAAAUUCAAAAAGGACAGAGCUUGGGACCCUCUCGCGAUCGUCAUCAGUGAUAUAUUCUUAAGCGGGCUUCGCAAAAUUCUUCUUCGUCUCCGGGCCGAAUAACAACCCACAUAAUUGAAGACGAGCGUUGAGCUGGGGUCUUGGAUUAUCUAUUACGUCACUGCGCUGUGUUAGUUCGUCGCCUACCGCUUUCAUAAAUUCGCGGGUCGUUUCCUGGAGGUCACCCACACGUACAUCUUCAGCAAAUGCAGAGACAGCGGCAAAGGAAGAAGCGGAUAUGGCACGUGCAGUGGUUGCGUUGAAGUGAGAGUGGCAAAGCUCCCCAUCCCCGCACGAUGUCCUGUGCCCUUUCA